rnacentral:lncRNA from 1 species
UCCUAUUUUACAAUUCGUGGCAUCCUUAUUACAAAUCAGAAACAAUGUGCCUUAGGAUCUAACCAAAUGAUUCAGAUUUAACUGUUUCAACUAUACAAACCAUACAAAUUUCAUACUCAACUACUGGAUAGAAACUUGAACAAUCAUUCAAAUAGUGCUUGGUCAUUCAAUCUUCAAAUCAGAUUUACAUGCUCUUUCACAUUUCAUAGGAAAAGUAGUAGAGGUACCAGGAAUUGAAUUGAAAUUAGAGGAAGAGAAGUCAGCCACAGAGGAAUAACCAGCAACAACGAGAUUUUAGGCAGCAAACACAGGAAGUUGAGAGUAAAACAGACUAGAGAAAUCGAGCACAAGGAAAUUUCCAAAGGUCCCAAAUUUACUUUAAAUCCACCACAAUAACACAAGAAUGAUACUAGUCGUCAAAUAAACCCACUGAAUUGACCAGUAGCUCCAGAAUCUAACAGUGAUCAACAACUCAAAAAUCAACUUGUGUAACUGAAUCUCUAAACUAAAUGAUGAAAUCUUAAAGCUAAAAAAAAACUUGAGUUCAAAUUGAAACUCUAAUAAAACAGUACUAUUUUUUGUAUUUUGGAAUUUCUUGAUUUGUUUUUAAUUUUUUUGCUGAGUUCAGCUCGUUCUUCAGAUGGAAAAAUAGGCAGUUUUCUUAAAGAAUUCUAAUGGCUUAAGAGAAGACCCCCUUUCAUAUGGCAAUGCAAUGCCUAUUUAUAGGUAAAUAAAUAACUCCUUAUUUUUAAUUCAGUCUCUGACUUAAUUAAUUUUUACCCCUCUGUAUUUCUAACUUUUCACACAAGAAAACACUACAAUUUUUCAUAAAUUACUUAAAGAGCCCUGUCUAGAAACUUCAAGGUAUUCUAAGUUUUUCUUGUACCUACCAAUUACCUAGAAUGCCCUUGCACAGUAAUUACCACUAAUCAUCCUUUACCAAAAACCCAUUGAGUAAGAUGAGGACUAAUCACUUUCAAAACAGCCUAAAUAUAAAUGAAACCUAACAAGAAGAGCAGAUUAUAUGAAGGAAAUUCAACUAAGCCAAUUGACUAUUCGGGUACCUAACAAUCAAACUAUUUAAACAAAGCAUCAAAAUUAAUCCAAACAUACAAUUAGUGGAACGAACUAAUCUGACAAUUUAACUAACUAAUUACAAAAUUCAAGUCAACUGGAAUUAAAAACAAAGAAAGGUCCCAUAAUUUACAUAUGCAACUAAACAGAGAGAAAAACUGAAAUAAAAAAGAAACUAGAAAGCUCACUGCUGAAUAAGGAAACUCCUGGCAGUUUAUCCACUUUGCGAUUUGACCAUUUCUUGCAGGCAUUGGACGUUAAGCCUAUUGAAAUCCUCAUCAGGACAGCCCAACGAACAUCUAGUAUCAACUUGGGCUGAAUUGGGCCUACUAGGGUUUUUGCCGGAAAACUUGAAAUGGAUAUUCGAGCCGUUCUGGCCACAUUCGAGCCAAGUGGCUAUGGGGUUGUGUAGAGAAUGGCUGGGCAAGACUAUGGGGUAAGUUUGGAACCUUUUGGCGUAAGUCUCAUCGUUUCCGGAAAUAUUCCAUCGAAGAUUCGAGGUGAUAGGGAAAGAUUCGAGGGAGAUUACCAUGGGGGAUGGAAAGAGGAUGGGAAGGAGCAUUUAUGGUGUUUUUAUGAUGGACAACGGCAUGCGGUGCGUUUUCCACCGGGGAGGAUUCCGGCGAGGCUCAUAGAGAUACGAGAAAGAUCGCCUUUUUCCUUUUGAGUUUUUUAUUAAACCGACCAUCUAAUAUAUUUACCCACAAGCGAUUAAGGACCGUUAGAUCAAGAACGAUUGAGGUCAAAGGACGCCCAACGAUGCCGCUUUGGUUCGCCUUCGAGAAUGGACCGG